UUCGCAAUGCCCGAAAGGGUGACAAUGCGACGCCGCGUGAGCGAUGAAGGCCUUCGGGUUGUAAAGCUCUGUCGGCUUGGAUGAAGGCAGGGGACAAAUAAUCCUUCUGUUUGACGGUACAGGCAAAGGAAGCCACGGCUAACUCCGUGCCAGCAGCCGCGGUAAUUCGGAGGUGGCAAGCGUUGUUCGGAACCACGGGGCGUAAAGGGCGCGUAGGCGGCAUUGUAAGUCUGUGGUGAAAUCCCUCGGCUCAACCGAGGCAUGGCUGCAGAUACUGCUUUGCUAGAGUGUGAGAGGGGAGAGUGGAACUCCUGGUGGAGUGGUGAAAUGCGUAGAUAUCAGAUGGAACGCCGGAGGCGAAGGCGGCUCUCUGGACCGUUACUGACGCUGGGCGCGAAAGCUAGGGGAGCAAAUGGGAUUAGAUACCCCAGUAGUCCUAGCCGUAAACGAUGGGCACUAAGUAGAGGGGUUUU
rnacentral:rRNA from 1 species